rnacentral:rRNA from 1 species
CCUACGGGGGGCAGCAGUGAGGAAUAUUGGUCAAUGGGCGCAAGCCUGAACCAGCCAAGUCGCGUGAGGGAUGACGGUCCUAUGGAUUGUAAACCUCUUUUGUCGGGGAGCAAGGCCCGCCACGUGUGGCGGGACGUAGAGUACCCGAAGACAAAGCAUCGGCUAACUCCGUGCCAGCAGCCGCGGUAAUACGGAGGAUGCGCGCGUUAUCCGGAUUUAUUGGGUUUAAAGGGUGCGUAGGCGGAAGGUUAAGUCAGUGUUAAAAUGUCGGUGCUCAACACCGGCCUGCCGUUGAAACUGGUCGUCUGGAGUGAGCGAGAAGUAUGCGGAAUGCGUGGUGUAGCGGUGAAAUGCAUAGAUAUCACGCAGAACUCCGAUGGCGAAGGCAGCAUACCGGCGCUCAACUGACGCUGAGGCACGAAAGCGUGGGGAUCGAACAGGAUUAGAUACCCGGGUAGUC